rnacentral:rRNA from 1 species
UACGGGGGGAGCAAGCGUUGUUCGGAUUUACUGGGCGUAAAGGGCGCGUAGGCGGUCAGCACAAGUCAGUUGUGAAAUCUCCGGGCUUAACUCGGAAAGGUCAACUGAUACUGUGCGACUAGAGUGCAGAAGGGGCAACUGGAAUUCUCGGUGUAGCGGUGAAAUGCGUAGAUAUCGGGAGGAACACCAGUGGCGAAGGCGGCGACCUGGGCCAAUACUGACGCUGAGGUGCGAAAGCGUGGGGAGCAAACAGG